AAAAUGCAUCACAACCCCUCGCGACGUUACAGUGUGAAUUGACCCUAACGCUCUUUUACAUACAAUGAGUUUCUACAA